rnacentral:rRNA from 1 species
UACGAAGGGGGCUAGCGUUGCUCGGAAUCACUGGGCGUAAAGCGCACGUAGGCGGCUUCUUAAGUCAGGGGUGAAAUCCUGCAGCUCAACUCCAGAACUGCCUUUGAUACUGAGGAGCUUGAGCCCGGGAGAGGUGAGUGGAACUGCGAGUGUAGAGGUGAAAUUCGUAGAUAUUCGCAAGAACACCAGUGGCGAAGGCGGCUCACUGGCCCGGUACUGACGCUGAGGUGCGAAAGCGUGGGGAGCAAACAGG